CCUACGGGCGGCAGCAGUGAGGAAUAUUGGUCAAUGGGCGAGAGCCUGAACCAGCCAAGUCGCGUGAGGGAGUACUGCCCUAUGGGUUGUAAACCUCUUUUGUCGGGGAGCAAAAGCCGGAAGUGUCCGGCUGUGAGAGUAGCAGAAGAAAAAGCAUCGGCUAACUCCGUGCCAGCAGCCGCGGUAAUACGGAGGAUGCGAGCGUUAUCCGGGUUUAUUGGGGUUAAAGGGUGCGCAGGCGGAUUUUUAAGUCAGCGGUCAAAUCGUGGGGCUCAACCCCAUCCAGCCGUUGAAACUGGGGAUCUAGAGUGUGCGAGAGGUAUGCGGAAUGCGUGGUGUAGCGGUGAAAUGCAUAGAUAUCACGCAGAACCCCGAUUGCGAAGGCAGCAUACCGGUGCACAACUGACGCUCAGGCACGAAAGCGUGGGUAUCGAACAGGAUUAGAUACCCGAGUAGUC
rnacentral:rRNA from 1 species